AGAGUAAACCUGCUGAGGGGCCUCAGGGACCUUCACAGAAAUGCCCAUGACAAAACUUCCUCUCAGUUGGGUUAGUGUGGAGCUCCAUGCUCUCCUGAGCCUGCAGCCAGCACAGGGGGACUCAUCAGCCCUAUUAACUCUCCUUGGGCAUUUUCCACAGGCUGGGUUCAUUGCUUGGUUUUCCCUCACUUCAAGAAACAAGGUGUUGCAAGGGAGCUUGCAAGAUGAGUGACAAGGAGCAGGAGAGGAGCUUCUUUAGGGAAUGUGCUUACUUUCCCGUCAAGAGCAUGCCUUGGAUAUGUUUCUGUUGUUAAACCUCACUCAUUUCAACUGACUUACAGAGAACAAUGUUAAGAUUAGGUUCUGUCUUGGAUAUGAAGAGGACAAGCAGAUUCCAUAAAGCAGCGGUCAGAGCAAAACAAAAGACUCACUCCUGAAUUCCAGCCAAAGGACAGCUUCUAGGGAGGAGAUAAAAGAGUGGCAGAAAUGGCUGGUGAGCAUGAGACUGCCAGCUGCUGUGCAAGUGCUUCAGGACACAGAGAACCUGCAGGAUCACCAUAUGGAGAACAGACAUAUGCUAUACAGCCUAGACGUAAAUACAGACAAUUUACUGAAUAAAUGUUCUAAAUAAAUUC
rnacentral:lncRNA from 7 species